rnacentral:rRNA from 1 species
UACGGGGGGGGCAAGCGUUGUUCGGAAUUACUGGGCGUAAAGGGCUCGUAGGCGGCCAACUAAGUCAGACGUGAAAUCCCCUCGGCUUAACCGGGGAACUGCGUCUGAUACUGGAUGGCUUGAGUUUGGGAGAGGGAUGCGGAAUUCCAGGUGUAGCGGUGAAAUGCGUAGAUAUCUGGAGGAACACCGGUGGCGAAGGCGACAUCCUGGACCGGUAUUGACGCUGAGGCGCGAAAGCCAGGGGAGCAAACGGG